AUGAGUUCUUAUCUCGUCUCCGCUCUGUGUUUGAGCCCAGGAGGGCUCACUUGCUUGCUCGUGGUUGUGUUCCUCUCUCGGAGGUGCUUGCCGAGCUUCGUGCUAAGGAGACUCGCCUUCGCUCUGCUGGGUUGCUGGUGGUUCCGUCUGUGUUGGCUGCUCGGGCUCCUGUGUCGUCUGCUCGGCUCACCGCUCCACUGCUCCUACCCACACCUUCGGGGGGUGGGUCGCCCUCCUUAUGCUGAGAGGGGCCGGUUGCGCCGUGACACCUUCUGUGGCUACUGCUCUCGGCCAGGUCAUCCAGAGUCUGAUUGUCGUGAGAAGAAGCGAGACCAGAGGCGCUCCUCUUCCAGUGGGACUCCUGGAUUUUCCUCGACUCCGUCACUCACUGACCAGGACAUUCUGAGGCUCAAGCAUCUCUUGGCUUCCCCGGGCUCUUCGUCGACCGGUUCCACUGCUGCGGUGACUACAUCCACUUCUUCACCACCGUAG
rnacentral:rRNA from 1 species